UGCUCAGUAACACGUGGAUAACCUACCCUUAGGACCGGGAUAACCCUGGGAAACUGGGGCUAAUACUGGAUAGAUGAUUUUUCCUGGAAUGGGUUUUUGUUUAAAUGUUUUUUCGCCUAAGGAUGGGUCUGCGGCAGAUUAGGUAGUUGGUUAGGUAAUGGCUUACCAAGCCUAUGAUCUGUACGGGUUGUGAGAGCAAGAGCCCGGAGAUGGAACCUGAGACAAGGUUCCAGGCCCUACGGGGUGCAGCAGGCGCGAAACCUCCGCAAUGUGAGAAAUCGCGACGGGGGGAUCCCAAGUGCCAUUCUUAACGGGAUGGCUUUUCAUUAGUGUAAAGAGCUUUUGGAAUAAGGGCUGGGCAAGACCGGUGCCAGCCGCCGCGGUAACACCGGCAGCUCUAGUGGUAGCAGUUUUUAUUGGGCCUAAAGCGUCCGUAGCCGGUUUAAUAAGUCUCUGGUGAAAUCCUGUAGCUUAACUGUGGGAAUUGCUGGAGAUACUAUUAGACUUGAGACCGGGAGAGGUUAGAGGUACUCCCAGGGUAGAGGUGAAAUUCUGUAAUCCUGGGAGGACCGCCUGUUGCGAAGGCGUCUAACUGGAACGGUUCUGACGGUGAGGGACGAAAGUUAGGGGCGCGAACCGGAUUAGAUACCCGGGUAGUCCUAACUGUAAACGAUGCGGACUUGGUGUUGGGGUGGCUUUGAGCUGUUCCAGUGCCGAAGGGAAGCUGUUAAGUCCGCCGCCUGGGAAGUACGGUCGCAAGACUGAAACUUAAAGGAAUUGGCGGGGGAGCACCACAACGCGUGGAGCCUGCGGUUUAAUUGGAUUCAACGCCGGACAUCUCACCAGAGGCGACAGCUGUAUGAUAGCCAGGUUGAUGACUUUGCUUGACUAGCUGAGAGGAGGUGCAUGGCCGCCGUCAGCUCGUACCGUGAGGCGUCCCGUUAAGUCAGGCAACGAGCGAGGCCCACGCCCUUAGUUACCAGCUUAUCCUUUUUUGGAUGAUGGGCACACUAAGGGGACCGCCUAUGAUAAAUAGGAGGAAGGAGUGGACGACGGUAGGUCCGUAUGCCCCGAAUCCCCUGGGCAACACGCGGGCUACAAUGGCUAAGACAAUGGGUUCCGACACCGAAAGGUGGAGGUAAUCCUCUAAACUUAGUCGUAGUUCGGAUUGAGGACUGUAACUCGUACUCAUGAAGCUGGAAUGCGUAGUAAUCGCGUAUCACUAUUGCGCGGUGAAUACGUCCCUGCUCCUUGCACACACCGA
rnacentral:rRNA from 1 species